rnacentral:ncRNA from 22 species
UCCGGUGUGAGUCCGGAGCGGUCCCGCCACUGUGAGCUCCGUCGGGCGUGCCUCGACCACCGAGGCGCCUUGAUGCGCAAGCCAGG